rnacentral:rRNA from 1 species
UGGGGAAUAUUGGACAAUGGGCGAAAGCCUGAUCCAGCCAUGCCGCGUGUGUGAAGAAGGUCUUCGGAUUGUAAAGCACUUUAAGUUGGGAGGAAGGGCAGUAAGCGAAUACCUUGCUGUUUUUACGUUACUGACAGAAUAAGCACCGGCUAACUCUGUGCCAGCAGCCGCUGUAAUACAGAGGGUGCAAGCGUUAAUCGGAAUUACUGGGCGUAAAGCGCGCGUAGGUGGUUCGUUAAGUUGAAUGUGAAAACCCCGGGCUCAACCUGGGAACUGCAUCGAAAACUGGAAAGCUAGAGUAGGGCAGAGGGUGGUGGAAUUUCCUGUGUAGCGGUGAAAUGCGUAAAUAUAGGAAGGAACAACAGUGGCGAAGGCGACCACCUGGGAUCAUACUGACACUGAGGUGAGAAAGCGUGGGGAGAAAACAGG